UACAAGGGGGGCAAGCGUUGUUCGGAAUUAUUGGGCGUAAAGAGCGUGUAGGCGGCCUGACAGGUCUGCUGUGAAAACUCGAGGCUCAACCUCGAGAUGUCGGCGGAAACCGUCUGGCUAGAGUCCGGAAGAGGAGAGCGGAAUUCCUGGUGUAGCGGUGAAAUGCGCAGAUAUCAGGAAGAACACCUAUGGCGAAGGCAGCUCUCUGGGACGGUACUGACGCUGAGACGCGAAAGCGUGGGGAGCGAACAGG
rnacentral:rRNA from 1 species